GUUGCCAUCUCCAUCCAGCACACAUACAUGAUUGCGUCCUCAUCUACGAACCGUGCUCCACUCUGGAAGUUUUACUCUCCCUAAUAUUAGCCACACUGAUUUUUUACUAUCCCUGAGCUUAUUUUUGUGAAUUUGUCAGAUUGCAGUUUGGAUCGAAAGGUGCUCGAUGAUUCGCUUCAUAGGACCACUGUUGUUCGGAUUUAUUUCGUUGUUACUCAGUCAUUUCAGGUUGGGGUUGGAGGGCGGAAAAGGAGCAUGUUAUCAUAGCAGUGGCGGUGGCUCAUCUUGGGUUACUCCGUCGUCCUAUAAGGUUGCCGACAGACUAUCAGAUCUCUAGGAGGUGGUGCUGGGUGGUGAUGUCACUUAGUUGGAAACAUGCUGGGUCGUAUUCUGAAUAAUAGUGCAAGGUACUUUGACUAAAUGAUCUGCAAAUCAGUGCAUCUGGAAUGCUAGGAUGUGUGGGGACAAAAAGAUGCCAUUGCAUGGGCCUGUUGGCAAAGAAAUCAAAGCUUUACGAGGCUUGUCAGCAAUGAUUGAUGAGAUAAUUCGUUCAGCUGCUUUGGUAAGAGGUGACGGGAAUCAUAAAUACCACAAUGUCUAUGAAGAUUCAACAUACAGAAAGAUGGAAGAGGUUCCGAAUAUCUCUCUCUCGCUCUCUCUCUCUCUCUCUGAAUGGCUUUGUUUCUUUAUUUUGGCUAUUUCAGACGACAACGGGAUACAACACCUUGAUGAAAAUAUAUCUACCUAAAGAUUUUAUUUGUUUGGAUACAAUCUCUGAAUUCAAAAUAAAAACAUGGAUGUCGUGAUACUGGUGGAAGAAACACUCAUAAUUCUUGUUCUGGUUGCAGUCAUGUGGAUCAAGAUGUUGUUCUUGAGCACUAGAGUAAUUUGGUUUUCCUGUCAAAUCCUAGCUUCCAGGUUCGAAUUAUAUGUGGUUCCAGUUUUGUGGAUCAAAUGUUGUUCUUGGGUGCCAGAUUAAUUUGGUUAUCCUGUUGGCUCCUAGCUUUGAGUUUCUAAUUAAUAUACGAGGAAUUGGUGCUUUACUAUCAGUUUUUUGUUUGGUUCUCUUGUAUUCCGAUUCGUUGCUUCAUGCGUUCGCAUGCUGAUAUGCUUGUCCUUGCUAGGUUGCCUCGCUUGUGGCUCUAGGGUUUAUUUUUUUCUUUGAUUCUGAUAUUUGUUGGCUAAUUCUGCUCCAUCUUGCUUUUUCGGAACUGUAUGUUGUUGGUUGGUCUCUGUUGUUCUUCUUUUAUCGUCUUCAGCUGAGACAUGCUCUUGACUGAGCGCGGGCCGCAGAGGUGGUGAGGAUGCCGAGUUGUCCGCGGCGUGGUCGUUGCUCCUCCGGACUUGGCAGGAGGAGUGAGGAGGUCGAUCCAUCCUCGGCUUCAUCGUCGUCGUGCAUCCAUCAAGAGAUGCUCGCGCGCCAGGAGACGAAUCAACAUCUGCUCCUGCUCGACUGCUUCCAAAUCGAGUGAUGCAUGCUUCUGCUCGCUAUGGAGGCCGCUGCUCUGAUACACUCCAACUGCCAGCGAUGUUCCUCCUCAAGGUCAAGGCAGGCUGGGUGGGCUCCUCGUCGGCAUCGGCUUUCCCUGCCUGCCACUGCUCUCUGAUGGAGCGGACCUUUGGAUGCUCCUGUGCCUCUGGUGGUGGGCUAGGCUGGAACUGCUCUGUUGGAUCCUUACCUUUCUUUUGCAGCAACACUGAAUGGUUUGGCUGGUCCACAACACAGUCUCAGGGAUGGAUGGUCAAGUUGUAUAUGGCUUCCACCAUGCACGAGAUGAAAAGCCAUAUCUUGCUCAAGGACCAGUUGCAAAUAAGGGCAGAUAAAGAGUGGAUGCCCAACUGCUCUGAUGUAGGCCGCUCCGAAUCAAUUAUCCGAUAUAUGGCAUCUCCUGAAGGUAACUAAGAAACCGGCGACCCAGUUUUUGUUGUGCCUGCAUUAUUUGCUAUGCCAGAAUACUUCCCAUUACCCAGUUCUACUUUGGUAUUUCCUUCUGCAUCGGCUUUUUAGAUUUCAACCUUACAUGUUCAUCUUGGAAAAGAUCUUACAUCAUAAUUUGGUGUCUCUGUUCAGUGCUAAUCAAUAAAAAAAUUGUUGUUUCUUGUAAUGAUGAACAUUUUAUAGUUGUAGCAUAAUUAGAUGAUGAUAUUGUUAAAGGUUAACUGAUUUAUGAAAAUACUUCCAUUAUUAUUCUGCAUAUCGCCAUUUCUUUUACUGUAUACACGCUUUCAAAAGUUGGCUAGAUAAUUGGUUCACACGUAGUGUGCAGUGACAUACCUCAUGCAAAUAUAAUCCACGAUAUUGUCUAUUUCUAUUGUGUGCUCACAUGACCACCGGAAGAUUUCACUAAUUUAUAUGCUUAGGCAGGUUCACUGGAUGAUAUGCAUCAUGGACCGUAGGUACUAUUUGGUUUAGUUUAAUACAAUCUCUAUACAAUCUGUUGAUAUUAAGGUAUAAUAACUGAAAACUUCCAGAGGUUAAUGGGAAGGCAGAAUUGAUAAGCAUAAGCAUAAGCAGCUAGAAAUGUUUUGUUUGCUUGUGAACAGAUAAAGACAAAAAAGAAUGUGUGCUAUGAGUAUAAA